rnacentral:rRNA from 1 species
GACGUAGGGCGCGAGCGUUGUCCGGAUUUAUUGGGCGUAAAGAGCUCGUAGGCGGUUUGUCGCGUCGUUCGUGAAAACUCACAGCUUAACUGUGAGCUUGCGGUCGAUACGGGCAGGCUAGAGUUCGGUAGGGGAGACUGGAAUUCCUGGUGUAGCGGUGAAAUGCACAGAUAUCAGGAGGAACACCGGUGGCGAAGGCGGGUCUCUGGGCCGAUACUGACGCUGAGGAGCGAAAGCGUGGGGGGAGCGAACAGG